rnacentral:rRNA from 1 species
GACGUAGGGCGCGAGCGUUGUCCGGAUUUAUUGGGCGUAAAGAGCUCGUAGGCGGCUUGUCGCGUCGACUGUGAAAUCCCGCGGCUCAACUGCGGGUCUGCAGUCGAUACGGGCAGGCUAGAGUUCGGUAGGGGAGACUGGAAUUCCUGGUGUAGCGGUGAAAUGCGCAGAUAUCAGGAGGAACACCGGUGGCGAAGGCGGGCUCUG